GAACUACUCAAGGAUUUUGAUCGUCCAGUUUCUGCUUUAACUAGGCGCCAAACAUUUAAAAAUGCCUUACAGCAAGGAGUAGUUGAUUUCAACACUAUUGAUGUCACAUUUGAAAAUUUUCCAUAUUACUUAUGUGAAAAUACAAAGAAUGUUCUGAUUGCUUCCACUUAUAUACACUUGAAGUGUAACGGGUUUGCAAAAUUUGCAUCAGAUCUUCCCACAGUGUGCCCUAGGAUUUUGCUAUCAGGUCCAGCAGGUUCAGAGAUUUAUCAGGAGACAUUGGCCAAAGCACUUGCUAAGUACUUUUGUGCUAAGCUAAUGAUAGUUGAUUCUCUCUUGCUGCCUGGUGUUUCAAGUUCCAAAGAUGUCGAGCCUGUUAAAGUAAGUUCAAAACCAGAGAGAGCUAGUGUAUUUGCUAAACGUGCGGCGCAAGCGGCAGCAUUGCAUCUGAAUAAAAAGCCGGCUUCAAGUGUUGAGGCUGAUAUA
rnacentral:misc_RNA from 1 species